rnacentral:rRNA from 1 species
AUUGAACUCUGGCGGCAGGCCUAACACAUACAAGUCGAAAGAGUGGCGGACGGGUGCGUAAUGUCUGGGCAACUGCUCGAUGGAGGGGGAUAACUACUGGAAACGGUAGCUAAUACCGCCUACCAUCUGAAGUCCCCAGAUGGCAUUAGCUAGUAGGUGGGGUAAUGGCUCACCUGGGCGACGAUCCCUAGCUGGUCUGAGAGGAUGACAAGCCAGACUGGAACUGAGACACGGUCCAGACUCCUACGGGAGGCAGCAGGGGGGAAUAUUGCAGAAUGGGCGCAAGCCGGAUGCAGCCAUGCCGCGUGUAUGAAGAAGGCAUUCGGUUUGUAAAGUACUUUCAGCGAGGAGGCGUUAGUCGCAGAAGAAGCACCGGCUAACUCCGUGCCAGCAGCCGCGGUAAUUC